CGUAAAAAAAAAAAAAAAAAAAAAAAAAAAAAAUUGCCUCAUAGGGUGGAUGGUACAUACUCUGCUUUCAACAAAUUGUUGCUGUGCUUCUUAUUUAUCAUAUUCAUGAUUAUCCUGAUGGCCUUACAAUUCCAGAACUCGGAGCUCUUUAGGGAUUUAUUUCUGAAACGCCAUUGUUUUACAAACGAGGAAACUGAGACUCAGAGGACAGUGACUUGCCUGAGGUCCCGAGGCUUCUUUCUUCCAGAGCUGGGACUUGAACGCUCCUCCCUCCGGUCCCGCUGGGUCCUAUGCCAGUUCCGGGUUUCCUGAUAGCCUUGGAUGCCAACUCCAUAGCAGCAGCUGUCUCCAGUUUCUCGUGCAGCGUCGCCCUGGACAGCUGAACCUCCUGGGCCUUCUGUCCCCCUUCCUCAGUGGGGACAGACUGCCCAGCCUCCCUCCCUAAUAGGUGUGGCAAUCACGCUGUCUUCCAGUUAGUUCUCUUUCACUGCAUCAGCAUUUCGGCUGCUGCAGCCUGCUCGGGGCAGAGCUGGGUGUGCUGUGCUGAGGGCUGUUUCUGGAAAGGGGCUAUGAGGGCUCUUGGGCUGUGUCGGGGCUGACUGGUGGGGCCCUGCGGCAGAGAUGCCCCACCCCUGCAAGUGUGGGGAUGCUGGAGUUUUAUGUGGAAUAUGAGGCCAUGGAGGGCUUCUGGACUGUUAACCAAGCCUUGGAAAAGUUGCCAAUACACUCCAUUUCCUAGUAGAGCAGAAAUACCAUUUUAUUCAUUUCCCUGUGUCCGCUUAGAUCACUCCCUCUGCCACUCCAGGCUGCUGCACGGUCCCACUGACUCUUGCUAGACUUCCAUGUAAUGCUGGAAGAUGGGUGAUUGUUUUCAAGAAGAAGGUUUAGAAGACAGAAGAACAGGAUUAUAUGAAUGUGUAUGACUGGGUCCCUUUGCUAUACAGCAGAAAUUGGCACAACAUGGAAAAUCAACUAUACUUUAAUAAUAAUAAUAAGAAGAAGAAGAAGAAGAAAAGACAGAGAUAAGGAAAAAGAGCCAAUGCUUACUCAAUUUCCUUUUCUAGAAGAUUCUGCACCAGCAGAUUCUUACUGUUUGGGAGAUACGGCAAAUAAGAACUAGAAAAGCAAAGGAAUCUUGACUAUUUAUGAAUAGUGUUCAUGGCUGUCAAGGGUAUUUUUUUGGCAUCUGGCACAUAGUAGGCAUUCAAUACAUAUUUUACUGACUAAAUGGCCAGGAAACCAUUCCUCAUAGCCCUCAGUUAGCCUUUUUUUUUUUGGCAUAUGGAUGUUCCCAAGCUUGGGGUCAAAUCAGAGCUGCAGCCACUGACCUACACCACAGCAACACCAGAACCUUAACCUACGGAGUGAUGCCAGGGAUCGAACCCACAUCUUCUUGGAUACCAUUCGGGUUUGUUUCCACUGAGCCACAGUGGGAAAUCCCUCAGCCCUCUUAAUAGCUGUCCUUCAGGAAGCAAUGAAGUGUGUUCAGUAGGAGCUGGCAUUCUGGAGUCCCACGGCCUAAAUUCAAUUCCUGGACUUGCCACUUCUUAGCUGUGUGCUUCUUGGGUGGUUGUUCUAUCAUUUGAGGCCUUGGUUUCCUUGUCUAUAAAAUGGGAAUAGUAUGGUAACUCCCUGAUAUGGUUUUCAUGAGGAGCAAAUUAGUUACUAUGGGUAAAGGGCCUAGAAAUUUCCCUAGAAUGUGGUUCAAGAUAUGAAGAGAGGAAAAAGCAUGAAGAGGUAGUGGAGGAGGAUUGGUUAUUGUAAUGAAUUUGGGAGCUUUUGAGAUUUUGACCCUACCUUUUUGGCUCCUUCCCUUAACCCAUGAUUCCAAUGAUUUGCAAACCUUCGUUUGUUCAGUAGAGAAAACAUUUUGAGAAUAAAAAACUAAAAUGGAAUUUAGAGGAAAAAAAGAUUAUUUCCCAUCUCUCAACAAAUAAUUAUGGAACUCCUACUCUGUGCCAGGUACUCAAUGAAAUAUUGGGUAUUGAAUGUUGAACCUAACAGUGGCAGUCUUUGCCUUAGUGGAUGCUGCAGUCUGGACUCUGUUGGGCAUGAUGAAUUUAUUGACUCAAUGAACCCAGCUGCUGUGUUUCUUUUUCUCUAUUAAAAUGGUAUGUUGAGUAGACGUAAAAGAAUGAUGCUUUCCACUUAGCUCUGAGCAGUGAGUGGGGGUUAGGAAAUAGAGAGAGAGUUGUGUGUGUAUGGAGGGGCGCACAGAGCCCAGCUCUACGGUCACUUAAAGGUAGUGAGAGAUAUAUGGCAUGGGCAUUGGAUUGAAAUUGGAGGGAGAGCCAAAGCAGAGAUGUGCCUAAUCAGCCUCUGAAACAUAGAGGAUUGCAGGUAAGCAGUAAAAGAAUGAUAGAGCCAGAGCAGGUACGAUGAUGGGAAGUAGGAGUCACAAGCGCUGAAGACCCAGCUUUGAGAGUGUAGAGUGAAGACAGCUGGAUUUUGUCAAGGUCAUCUUCUCUUUUCAGCCUCUGGAACUGCCAUGGCAGGUGGGCUUCUGUGAGGUCUUUCUUAGAACCGGGAACUUCCCCUCUCUUGGAAACACAAGGAUGUGUGUGAACAACUGGUCUCUAUAUGGUUUUGCUGGUCUGGUAGAAUGUUGAUAUUUUAAUUUGGUGAAUCCUUUUCUUUUUUUUUUUUACUUUGGAGAAAGACAGCAUCUGAAAUCUGCCCCAUAUACUAUUCACUCCCCUUGCCCUAUCUGUUUUUGAGGGGCAGUGUUAACCUUAGAUGCCUUAGAGCCCAGACUAAGUCAGUCAUCAGUGUGAACUGUGGAAUGGGAUAAUUAGUAACUUUUCCCUCUACUUUCAUCCAUGUGGCGGGGUUCAUUCCUGGGGUCUCUGUUUUCUGGAAGCAGUCAUUUCUUCCACAACAGCCGCCUGUGAAGAAACCGAGCUUACGAAAUGACUGGGGCAUGUUUCACAUGGCUGAAUUCAGAUCCUUCUGUUUGAUUCCCAUGUAAGCUUUGGCAGUGAUUUAUACAAGCCUUUCUGUGGGUGGUGCCGGAGUAUGACUUUGGUAAACAGCCCCCUGGCUGUUGUUGGCUGGGUCCCUGAAAAUACCAUAAAGGAUACAACUUGAAAACUCCCUGAGGUUUCCCUGCGCUUCCUGGAGCUGCCCCAGCCAUACUGUGGUGUGAGCAGCGGUUGGGAACUGGUCUGUGUUUGCUGGCUUCUACUUGGCUGCUCUGUGAUGGAGUGAAGUUCUGACUGAGUUUCCUCUCCUCUAAUUACACAUCCUGGGAUUAUCACUCUAGUCCUAAAUCUGCUGGAAAGAAUCUCAUUUCAUCGUCCUCAUUUCUAUUUCAAUUGUUCAUUUCCAGCACAACUAACCAAGCUUCAAGUUCUCGAUUUAUUGAUUUUAUUCCGGUUGCUGCUGCUGCUGCUGCUACAUUUUGCUUUUAGGAAUAGAAUGAGUUUAGUAAAUUCUUGGAUGCAAGUGAAUAUGGAUAUGUAUGGAUAUAUUCUAUAGGUAUAAAUAUAUGUGUAUAUAUAUAUAUAUAUAUAUUUUUUUUUUUUCCUGAGAAGGUUCUAAUGGUAGGAGGUUUUUACUCUCAAACUAUUCAACCAUGGUAGUUGGUUAAAACAUUUAAAUACGUGCAUUAAGCAGUAAACGUUUGUAUGAAAAAAAGUCCUAAGAGAAAAGUAGAUUUAAGUAGACCUGUUUAAAAAAAAAAAAAAAAAGACACAGACAGAAAGAAAGAAAGAAAAAAGAGGCCUUCCCACUGUAACACAGUGGGUUAAGGAUCUGGUUUGUCUCUGUGGUGUUGCCAGUUCAAUCCCUGGCCCAGUGCAGUGGGUUAAGGAUCCAGCAUUGCUGCAACUGUGGCGUGGGUCAUGGCUCUGGCUGAGAUUCUAUCUCUGGCCUGGGAACUUCCAUGUUCCACGGGUAUGCUAAAAAAAAGAAAAAAGAAAAGAAAGAAAAGUCUGAUUGACCAGCAACUAAGCAUCCCUUUGUUUCCCGAUUUUCUCUGUGUGUGUGUGUGUGUCUCUCUCUCUCUCUCUUUUUUUUUUUUUGGCCCUUAAAUCUCCCAUACUACCUAUUUCCUGACAUUGACCUAUCUUCCCUGUUGUUUCAUUGCCAUAGAACAAGAUAUUUAUACUGUUUACUGACGUCUUGGUAUUUCAGCUGCAUCCAGAAAUCCUCCGAUCCAAGAACAAUAGGAUAUAGCAGUUUACCUUCUGUUAUACUGUGAGCAAACCUGAUGUCAAGAUUCUCUCAAAGUAGAUGAGAAUCUUUCAUCCAUGCAGUUAUUAACAGUAAGAGAGAGAAACUUUCUAGAGUGUAUUUAUAUGAAUGAGCUUCAACACAUUGAAAAUAAUGACUAAAUAAAUUAUAAAAUAUUCCUCACACUAUUGCUAAAGAAUUAGUAUGUUUUGAUGAUGGCAAAACCGAAUACUGUACGUAAUGGUCAAAGGAUCAGUUGACUUUUAAGAAAUAAUUAACCGGCCUAUCUUUUUUGGUCAAUAACCUGCUGGUUCAAAGAAAGCUAAUUCAAAAAGUUUGUGAUCUGUGAGGGAGAGGGCAAGACAUGGAACUGUGUCUAAGAGAUUCAGGGAUUCUUUCUAAUUCAGCAUGUCCUUCCCCAAUGAGGGGUGCUUGCCUCUCAAACAACGGGGUGUCCUUCAAGGCACUGAAUGUCUAACUCAGCUAAAGAUAAUGAGUUUUUACUAUAAAUAUACAUUUCAUGUACUUUAAUAGAAAUAUGUUAACCUAUUUUUAUAGGUUUAACUAUAAAACAAAAUAACAUGAAAUCAGUUUGAGUGUGGUAUUAGGGACCUCUUUGCAUUACUGCGUAGGUAGUAAUUUUGCCUCUACAAGAACUCAUAUUUAAGAAGGUUGAAUUUUUCAGGAAGUUUACUCAAGUAAGACAACAGGCUAGGUUUAAUAUCUAUUCCCCAAUUGAAAAUUUCUUUCUUUUCUUUGCGCCUUGGGAUCAAGGCUCGCAUACUCUCCCGUGGAUUGGAAUGUAUUCUUGUGGUCCUCCUUUGUCCUGUGUGAGCACAAUUAAUUGUAUGCUAUGUGAAGGAGCUCUGUCCCAAUUCUCUUCUCCUCUCCAGGUCUCAGGUCUCCUGGCAGACCCCUGAACCCCAGAGAAGUGUUUCAAGCCAGGGUCCUGACGUCUUGGUCAGGUUUCUGAUAAAAACGAAGGUGUGUCUGUGUCAUAGUUUCACAGAGAGCAUGCAGUGCAUAUUUAUUUUGUGAUGGGUUUUUAUCACUUGGUAGAAAGAUGUUACUGUAUCUUAGGUGAAUGUUCACUCCAUCAUUUCACAGAACCUAGUUGUUGUUUUUCUUUUGCGCGGGGGACAGAUUUAGGGGGCAUGUCGACAGGACUGCCGUGGAAAUAUUCUUUCUCUGGAUGUUUACUUCUGCAUUUUUAUCUGAAAUGCCCUCUUUUCACCCACGGACACACUUUCCCGCCACAAGCAACACGAUGAACUCUUGGUGCUGCCCUUCUGACUCCCCAUCAUCAACCCUCCAGCCUCUUCAGCUCCAAACCUGUGAUUAUGCUGGAUGCUUUCUGUUAGUCUUUGGCUUGCAGUGGACCAGCUGAAAGAUAAACAGCUAUUACAUAAAUCUACGACCCUUUUGAGAACAAAUAGAGCUGUUGAAAGGGUUUAAGAACAUGGCGACUCCUUGUGAGAUCGUCAACAUUCUUGAACCCUUUGACUGAAUGUGAAUUUUCUUCUCUGUGUGUGUGUGUAUACUGAGCGUUUUAAAAAGGAACCUCAGUAGCAAGAUAUUUGAAGGCUUUUGUGAUCUUAACCUUGCAGUGUUUUUCUUGGCAGGACUUGAAGAAAACUUAGCUGUCAUCUGCUUUCUGCUCCUGAUGAGGGGUGCGUCAGCACUGUCCCUGAGGGUGGCAGGGUGAAGCCCCCAAGGCGAGAGGAACUCAGGAGCUGCUAGGUGCCCGGGGCUCAUCUGGUUAUUACACUGCAUUCACCUUGCUCCCCAAGGAAAGGUCUUUUUACAUUUUCUCAUGUGUCUCCAUGGCUGUGGGGCUAAAAGUUGGCGUCUACCCUGGACCACACACAUCUCUUGUCACCAGGUUUGAUUCUGGAUGCUAGAUGAGCCCUUCUGCCAUUAGGAUGGGGAUGCUUCGUUUAUCGGUGGGGAGCCUCGUUUAUCUGUGCUGGGGCAGCUGGGAAGGACCCUGCAAACUUUGCUGUCAUGGGUUCAAUUUUGUAGGACUCCCCAACUUGCAGAAGUUAUCUCUGGGAUCCUUGAUCUAAACUCCAGGCACCAGGUAAUGAACAUGCAGUAAUUUGAAUUGGUCUCUCUUGCCUCUUCUGUCUCUCUUGCUUCUAUCGUGAUAACAACUGCUCUCAAGUGACAAUGCCAAAUGGGACUUCAGCAUCAAAGGACAGGCUACAUGACUCUUUUGUGUAACCUCAGAGGCACUGCCUGUCUAAGGGAGAAACUGAUUUUGCUCAUCAUCUUGAAUUGCAGCAUGAUGUGAAUUGGAAUGCUGAGACCGACUUAGAGAUAUUUUUAGCAGAGAGAAAUAUUUUGAUGCAUAUCUCUCACCUGAAAAUUUUCCCAGAUUUGCUAUUUCUAGCUUCUUAGCAGCUUCACAAAGGGGCAUUGUAUUUGUGUUGGAAGAGAAAAAUAUUUUUAUUUCCUGCCCUUGACUUUUAGUGGAAUUGAUAAAAAAGCAUCAAGGCCCUUUGAGUCCUGGGUCUCCCACCAAAAAGAAAAAAAAAAAAAAAAAAAAAAAAAAGAAA